rnacentral:misc_RNA from 1 species
GAACGCAUCUUGCGCUCCUUGGUAUUCCGAGGAGCAUGCCUGUUUGAGUGUCAUUAAUAUCUCAACCCUCUAAUGUUUUUGCAUUGAAGGCGUUGGUAGUGAGCGCUGCCGGUCUUUGGGUCGGCUCGCUUUAAAAUAAUUAGCUGGAUCCAUUCUGACCUGGUUCUACUCGGCGUAAUAAGUUAUUAUCGUCGAGGACGCCUAGCCUUCUAGGCAGGCGGCCACAGUAAGGGUGUUUGAACCGCUUCCAACACGUCUUGCUCUUGUAGCAAACACUUGAACCUCUGACCUCAAAUCAGGCAGGACUACCCGCUGAACUUAAG